rnacentral:rRNA from 1 species
AUUGAACGCUGGCGGCAUGCUUUACACAUGCAAGUCGAACGGUAACAGGGAGCUUGCUCCGCUGACGAGUGGCGAACGGGUGAGUAAUGCAUCGGAACGUACCGUGUAAUGGGGGAUAGCCCGGGGAAACCCGGAUUAAUACCGCAUACGCCCCAUGGGGGAAAGGAGGGGAUCUUCGGACCUUUCGCUAUCAGAUGAGCCUAUGUCGGAUUAGCUAGUUGGUGAGGUAAGGGCUCACCAAGGCGACGAUCCGUAACUGGUCUGAGAGGAUGAUCAGUCACACUGGAACUGAGACACGGUCCAGACUCCUACGGGAGGCAGCAGUGGGGAAUAUUGGGCAAUGGGGGAAACCCUGAUCCAGCCAUGCCGCGUGUGCGAUGAAGGCUUUCGGGUUGUAAAGCACUUUCAGUCGGGAGGAAAGGGUAGGCGAGGCGUAAUAAUCCUGUGCAGUUGACGUUACCGACAGAAGAAGACACCGGCAAACUACCGU